rnacentral:tRNA from 1 species
GACGCUUUAUCCAACGUGACUUGGGAGGCUGACUUGUAAUCAGUAGCUCCCGGGUUCGACUCCUGGUGCCGCACCA